CCGGAAAUCGCCAUCACCGUUGUCAGUAUUAAAUUUGUGGAAAAUCUCCAUUCACAGAGAAGCACACAAAGAUCUGAAAAAGAGAAGGAGUUGUCUCAAUUGUUUUUCUUGUGCCACUAGUUUUUCAUCUCUAGCCCAUCAUCCAAAUCAAGAAUACUAUGGCAGAGCAAAAAAUUGUCUCCUCUGAACUAUGCAAGAAGGGGAUAGAAGCUGGGUCUUCAAGUUUAGAAAUUUUGAAUGAAGAAAAUGAAGCCAUGGUAAAUAUGGAAGUACCAACAUGUGGAAAAGUUGU